AGCUAGGUAGCUCAGUGUAUGGAGCGCCAGGCUUACACUCUGGAGGACCUGAAUUCAAGUUUGGCCUCUG
rnacentral:tRNA from 1 species